GGACAGGUGCUGCAUGGCUGUCGUCAGCUCGUGUCGUGAGAUGUUGGUUAAGUCCCGCAACGAGCGCAACCCUUGUCUUUAAUUGCCAGCAUUCAGUUGGGCACUUUAAGAGACUGCCGGUGUUAAGCCGGAGGAAGGUGGGGAUGACGUCAAGUCCUCAUGGCCUUUAUGCCCAGGGCUACACACGUGCUACAAUGGGUGGUACAAAGAGAUGCCAACUCGCGAGAGCGCGCCAAUCUCAGAAAGCCAUCCUCAGUUCGGAUUGGAGUCUGCAACUCGACUCCAUGAAGUUGGAAUCGCUAGUAAUCGCGGAUCAGCACGCCGCGGUGAAUACGUUCCCGGGCCUU
rnacentral:rRNA from 1 species